rnacentral:rRNA from 1 species
UACGAAGGGGGCUAGCGUUGCUCGGAAUCACUGGGCGUAAAGGGUGCGUAGGUGGUGAGGUAAGUCGGAUGUGAAAUCUCCGGGCUCAACCCGGAAAUGGCAUUGGAAACUACCUUGCUGGAGGAUUUGAGGGGGGAUUGGAAUACUUGGUGUAGCAGUGAAAUGCGUAGAUAUCAAGUGGAACACCAGUGGCGAAGGCGAAUCCCUGGAAAAUACCUGACACUGAGGCACGAAAGCUAGGGGGAGCAAACAGG